rnacentral:lncRNA from 1 species
GGUGCCCCAGCUCAUCUGCCACCCAGCAGAGCUGACCAGCCAGACGCCCGCCCAGCAGCCAGCACCAGCAGAGGUGUUUGAGGAUGUCACCUUCACAGAUGUCAGUCACUUAAUUCUCCUGACGACCCAUUUGAUAGAGAAGACGGAGACCUAAAAGGCAAAACCGCGUGUCCAGCAUCUGGGACAGUAACGAGCAAGGUUGGGGGUCCCAUGCGCUGUGCGACCUAGACAUUUUGCUUGACCUCUCUGGGCUUCCAAUUCCCCACUGGAAAAAUAGGAAAACAGAACCUGCUUCCCAGCAUCCUCAGGGACUCAGUGAGUCCAGGUGCACUGGUGGCUGGGGACGUCCAGGGGCCAGCUGGGGUCCCACAGGGCAGGAGGAGGCCCUGUACCUGCCCCGCCUGGGCUUGCGGGGCCUCACUGCCCUGAUCCUGCAGAGCCCUGGCCGCCCUGGCCGCGGGAGCCCCAGGCCUGUCCCUCCCUUCCUUUCUCACUUGCCGUGUUGGGACACCGACCCCAGGAGCACAGACCCCGUGAGUCCGGUUCUCAUCCACCUCGUCCUCUGCUGGGUCCCACAGUUGGCAAGGGCCCGGGAGCAGUGGGUGCUCAAACAGGCAUCUGUGUGAAGGACUGCGGGCACUGUGGGGAGUGUCCAGCCCUGCAGGCGCUCGAGUACCGCGGGGACACUGGGGACCCAGGAGGGGACCAGGUUCUGGCCCCCCAUGUCUCUCCCUCUCUCUCUGUCCCCACCCCUCCCUCUCUCCUGCUCCCCUCUUGUCCCCCCACCCUGCCUGCAUCUGGUCUCCUCGCUGUCCCAGCCCUGAUCCUGGCCACCCCUGCCCCGCUUCCCACAUUGCCUUCUCCCCGUCCCGCCUCCAGCCUGUGAUCUUCCCGCCAACGAGGAGCAGGACCCACGCGGGACGGGGAACUGGACACACUGGCCCCACGGGUACUUCCCCGCCGUGGGACAGGGUGAGUCCGCCCCUGGUCAGGAGCCUCAUUCUCCUCAUCCAUACCCGGGCAGAGGGAGCCCAGCACUCGUGGGAAGCCCGUCAUGGGGGAAGGGCUGGGCCUCUGGGCUGCCCGGGGACCCGCCCGCCUGCUGCCCACAGGGCCCACAGCUGCUCCCGGCUGCUGCUGCGAGCCAGGAGGGGCCUCAGCUGUGAAGGCCCAGCUCCCUGGAGGCGGGAACUGCUGCUCGGUUGUCCCUGGCUGGCCUGGGCUUGGCGAGUCCUGAAUUAACAGCAAGAAUGUGGCCCCACUGCAUACCAUCCCAGGCAGCAAUCACUCCCGCCCUCCUGGAGUCCAGGCCUGGACCCCCCCCAGGACUCAGCCAAGCCGAC